GACAGAGGGUGCAAACGUUGUUCGGAAUUACUGGGCGUAAAGCGCGUGUAGGCGGCCAUCUAAGUCGGGCGUGAAAUCCCACGGCUCAACCGUGGAAGUGCACUCGAAACUGGAUGGCUAGAGUCCUGGAGAGGAAGGUGGAAUGCUUGGUGUAGAGGUGAAAUUCGUAGAUAUCAAGCGGAACACCGGUGGCGAAGGCGGCUCACUGGCUCGACACUGACGCUGAGGUGCGAAAGCGUGGGGAGCAAACAGG
rnacentral:rRNA from 1 species